ensembl:misc_RNA Y_RNA Y RNA
GGCUGGUCCAAGUGCAAUGGUGUUGCAACAAAUUGAUCACAACCACUUACAGAUUUAUUUGUUCUUUUUCCACUCCCACUGCUUCACUUGACUAGCCUUAA